AAUGCUCUGAGAAGCUGGAAACAGAAGAUCUGGAAGGUACCAAAUUCAGAUAGCUAGCUUGUCCAAAAAUUCUACUGAUCUGAUUUUGCUACCACAUGUCGGGUCAGUCUAAGAGGAACAGAAGAUUCCUUCCAUUAUGUGGAUUAUGUGGGAACUAGGAUGGCCGACAUGAGACUUGAUGUAGUGCUGGUUGUAACGUUGUGGGCUGGAAAGAAGGAAAUGCUUCAUUACAAUUUGAGGUCUGCCCUGCCUUCAGUUGGUGCCACUCUAGACAUUGCACAGAACAAAGUAGUAAAAUGCUGGGCAGUAUUUCUUGGGUCAUCUAAUAACAAACACAAAACAUGAUCAAACAAAGUAUGAUUGGACUGGCCAGCAAAACUAAAGAGCAAAUGAAAAAAAUAACUACAUGUCUUGCUACCAGCAAGCCAGCAAGGAGGGGAAACUCUCCUCAUCUUGAACAAGAAGAGAUCCUUUCACAGCCUUGGAGUACUUCCUUUCAUAUGAACCUGUCUGUCCAUUAAGAAUAUUUCCAGAAGCCCCUGGUGCUCAGAGGUUUAGUGGGCAGUAACUGGGGAGAAGCCUUCUUAGCUGAGGUCAAGAAUGUCUGGCACCUGCUCUUAUAUCUUCGAAGCGCAGUCCCGUCUUUAGGGCAGGGCAACUGGUGCGAUUGCCCCAGGCCCUGCAUUUGGAUGGGCCCUGCCGGCAGCAGCUGCACUGAAGUGAGCGGUGAGCACCCGCUUGGCAGCCUUGCACCAUGUGCCUGCCUCGGCUCCUGGUGGUGCUGCCGCUGCGGCAACAAGCCAAGCGCCAGGCAAAUACCUCUUUAUUUUACUUGCCAGGCCUUUUAAAAUACAGUUUAAACAAUUUUGACUCUA